UACGUAGGCAGCGAGCGUUGUUCGGAGUUACUGGGCGUAAAGAGUGCGUAGGCGGUUUUCUAAGUUUGGUGUGAAAUCUCCCGGCUCAACUGGGAGGGUGCGCCGAAGACUGGAAGGCUUGAGUAUGGGAGAGGUAAGCGGAAUUCCUGGUGUAGCGGUGAAAUGCGUAGAUAUCAGGAGGAACACCUGCGGUGUAGACGGCUUACUGGACCAUAACUGACGCUGAGGCACGAAAGCAUGGGUAGCAAACAGG
rnacentral:rRNA from 1 species